rnacentral:rRNA from 1 species
AAACUGCGAAUGGCUCAUUAAAUCAGUUAUCGUUUAUUUGAUAGUACCUCACUACAUGGAUAACCGUGGUAAUUCUAGAGCUAAUACAUGCUAAAAACCCCGACUCACGAAGGGGUGUAUUUAUUAGAUAAAAAACCAACGCCNUCCGGGGCUACGUGGUGAAUCAUGAUAACUUAACGAAUCGCAUGGCCUUGCGCCGGCGAUGGUUCAUUCAAAUUUCUGCCCUAUCAACUUUCGAUGGUAGGAUAGUGGCCUACCAUGGUUUCAACGGGUAACGGGGAAUUAGGGUUCGACUCCGGAGAGGGAGCCUGAGAAACGGCUACCACAUCCAAGGAAGGCAGCAGGCGCGCAAAUUACCCAAUGCCGACACGGCGAGGUAGUGACAAUAAAUACUGAUACAGGGCUCUUUCGGGUCUUGUAAUUGGAAUGAGUACAAUUUAAAUACCUUAACGAGGAACAAUUGGAGGGCAAGUCUGGUGCCAGCAGCCGCGGUAAUUCCAGCUCCAAUAGCGUAUAUUAAAGUUGUUGCAGUUAAAAAGCUCGUAGUUGAACCUUGGGCCUGGCUGGCCGGUCCGCCUCACCGCGUGCACUGGUCCGGCCGGGCCUUUCCUUCUGGGGAGCCGCAUGGCCUUCACUGGCCGUGUCGGGGAACCAGGACUUUUACUUUGAAAAAAUUAGAGUGUUCAAAGCAGGCCUUUGCUCGGAUACAUUAGCAUGGAAUAAUAGAAUAGGACGUGCGGUUCUAUUUUGUUGGUUUCUAGGACCGCCGUAAUGAUUAAUAGGGAUAGUCGGGGGCAUCUGUAUUCAAUUGUCAGAGGUGAAAUUCUUGGAUUUAUUGAAGACAAACUACUGCGAAAGCAUUUGCCAAGGAUGUUUUCAUUAAUCAGUGAACGAAAGUUAGGGGAUCGAAGACGAUCAGAUACCGUCGUAGUCUUAACCAUAAACUAUGCCGACUAGGGAUCGGAGGAUGUUACUAUUUUGACUCCUUCGGCACCUUACGAGAAAUCAAAGUGUUUGGGUUCUGGGGGGAGUAUGGUCGCAAGGCUGAAACUUAAAGAAAUUGACGGAAGGGCACCACCAGGCGU